AGGGAUCAUUACUGAGUUUACGCUCUACAACCCUUUGUGAACAUACCUAUAACUGUUGCUUCGGCGGGUAGGGUCUCCGCGACCCUCCCGGCCUCCCGCCUCCGGGCGGGUCGGCGCCCGCCGGAGGAUAACCAAACUCUGAUUUAACGACGUUUCUUCUGAGUGGUACAAGCAAAUAAUCAAAACUUUUAACAACGGAUCUCUUGGUUCUGGCAUCGAUGAAGAACGCAGCGAAAUGCGAUAAGUAAUGUGAAUUGCAGAAUUCAGUGAAUCAUCGAAUCUUUGAACGCACAUUGCGCCCGCCAGCAUUCUGGCGGGCAUGCCUGUUCGAGCGUCAUUUCAACCCUCAAGCUCUGCUUGGUGUUGGGGCCCUACAGCUGAUGUAGGCCCUCAAAGGUAGUGGCGGACCCUCUCGGAGCCUCCUUUGCGUAGUAACUUUACGUCUCGCACUGGGAUCCGGAGGGACUCUUGCCGUAAAACCCCCAAUUUUCCAAAGGUUGACCUCGGAUCAGGUAGGAAUACCCGCUGAACUUAA
rnacentral:rRNA from 1 species